rnacentral:rRNA from 1 species
UGACUCACGCAGGAAUCUUACCGGGUCCGGACACACUGAGGAUUGACAGAUACAGUGAAAAAUAUGAUAGCUCUUUCAUAAUUAUGUGAUAGGUGGUGCAUGGCCGUUCUUAGUUCGUGGAGUGAUCUGUCUGCUUAAUUGCGUUGGUAUAUAUAAUGCAUGUUAAUUGCAUUUUUACCAUGCAACGAACGUGACCGCAACCUCUUGUUGCACUAUAGCUUCUCAUGGUGCAAAACUAGAGGGACCGCUGUAUUUAUUUCUUUUAGCCAGAGGAAGGAUGCGGCAAUAACAGGUCUGUGAUGCCCUCAGAUGUCCCGGGCUGCACACGUGCUACAAUGAUUAUUGCACUGCGUAUCUUCUAACGCGGCGAUUUAAUUAAUUUAAAAUCACCGCGACACCCGUGUCGAUAGGCUAUACGGGUAACCCUUUAGAAGUAAUGAUUUCCAACGUAUAUAAUAUCAACUCAUGGUGGGGACAGACCAUUGAUAAUUGUUGGUCUCGGUCACAACUAGGAAUGCCUUGUACGAGUUGGUUCAUUAAACCACUCGGAAUACGUCCCUGCCCUUUGUA